rnacentral:lncRNA from 1 species
AAAGAUUCAUAUUUGGUUGUAUGUUAGUAGAUAAAUUAAUUAAUUGGGUAAUUUUAAUAGUUUUUAAGAGUUGGGGGUGUAAAUUAUAUUUAAAAAAGAAUUUCCAAAAAUCUAAAACAAAAAUAAAAAAUAUAUGAUCAAACACAAUUUCAAUUUCAACUUAAUUUUUUUUUAUUUUCAUAGUCAAACACCUACUUAAUGUCUUCAUUAUCAAUACAUCCAGCCU